GAAAGUCCUUUCAUAAUUUUAACAUCUGCAUAACAAGGAGCUCUAAACACACUAGAUUUCUGACCUGCAAGGAAUUUUUCCUCUGAGAAACCUGCUCUGGAGAAUACCUGUGUUUCUAAAAAUCAUUAUUUGUGUGACCAUUAUGGUCCUGGAUACCAUGGAGAUCAAGAGAAGUUUAGAAUCUCAGUGCUUGCAAGUUUAAAAUCUAAAUGGAGAAAUAAGACCUAUACACAGGACAUUGUCAAAACAAAAUAAAACAAUAUUUAAUGAGAUGUUAAAUUGUGUGCUAUGAACCAUACUUUAGAAUUUCAUGGAGGAACGGUAUCAAGGAAUUAGUCCCUUGGAGAAGAGGGGACUUGAGCUAUCCAGGGUAAAUGAGACUCAGAAAAAAGGAGAAUGGGAGGGACAUUCCAAGCGGGGAGGAAAGGCAGAUGUCGCAAGAGUCGGGCACGACUUAGCAACUGAACAACAACAGGAAUGAAGCCACAAAGGGACAAGGCGAGCCAGUGGGAGGCGUCGACGAUGCUGACCUCAUGGAACAGGGAGGUGCAAGGAUCGCCUACAAAGAGAGAUGGAACUGGCGUCUUGGGAGAGACAGUACUUUGUUAAAUAGAAGUGUUCCAGGCAGAGUUUUCACACCUUUGAGCCCUGACCUCAGGUGGUAGAAGCACCCAUACUUAGCAAAGACAACGUACGCACCACAGACGGCUUUCAAGACGUGGGGGCGCGGGGAGAAAUGUCAUCACGUGCAGUUUAUGACAGUAACCCAAGGGAAGAGGUGAGAUGACAUGUGAGUGUGAGCUUGCGAGGGAGCCGUGGGCCGGCACAGUGACCGAUGGCCUACCCGCUCAGACCCCUGGCCUCCCUGCCUGUUACCCUCUCAAGACCACGCACAAGAGAGCCCGCUGUCCCAGGCAAGGCCCUCGUAGACUAGCCGGCAGCCGCCGACCCGACGCACCAAGGUCAGCUGAGCUGCCUUGCCGCAGGAGGCUGACUUCAGGUGUGCGGACAGCAAGCAGCCAGAUGUCCUGUGGGCUCCUGAGCGGCUGCACGUGCUGUCCUUUAGGCAGCUUUCUGUGACGGUUGAGGACGACUCACAGCAUCAUGGUGGCAACAGACAGUAGGGCUGAGGAGGAGACGGACAGAACAGGCGCCGUCUGGAAAGCAGGACUCCAUCUUGGGCUGGACUGUGGACUUUGACCUCUAUGCCCAGUACCUUUGGAAACGACAUUCCAACUGGAAAACCAGACCCCCUGGAAGGAAGAGCCUCAGGGCUCCCACCUACACUCUCCCUCGCCUAAAAGGAUAUCCUAAUUAUCUGUGUAACCGAAUAGAUUCACACAUUCUAUUAUGCUUACUGGGGUAUGACCACAGGCCUAUUGAUAAUGGUCCGCUGUUUACCUAGGCUUAAGGCAUAUGAAUCAUGGGUUAAAUUUGAUUGUAUCUUUCUUUUCCUUUGUUCAGACUAGUUUCAGGGAACUGGGGGAGGCGGGUUUGGGCACGUACUCUUCAGUAUAUAAGGUUUUCAAAAACUGGUCUGGGUCCUUGGCUAAGAGGAGACUCUGCCUUGGGCCUGCCGGUGUAAUCAACUGCACUCCACGAUCUGCACUGUCUUUCUGAGUGUUUCCAGGAAUGUGUCGCUACAACAGAUCCACCCUCUGUUCCAAGAACCAAGAGUGAUGGUUGAUACGUAGAAAAAUAUCUGGGUGAAAGAACGUUGGUAGGUGCUUGAAAGGCUGAAGAAUUGAACAACAACGACAAAAACACCUCUUCAUACACUAGCCCUAUUACACAGAAAAUAUUGUAUAAAAAUAAGUUGGUAGAUGUUUGAAAGCUGAAGAAUUGAACUUAAAAGAAAUUUUUUUCACACACCAGCCCAAUUACCUUUUCCCAACUUGGUCUAGAACUAACCUCAGCAAUGUAAUAAGUUUGUUCAUGCUAUUAAUUCAGCUCUUCUGGGCAUCCACACCAAUUACUGGAAAAGACAAAAACCAACAUUAGAAUAGACACUGCUACUAAAUAAAAGGUAUUCAAGUAUUUAUAUCUACUCUGUC
rnacentral:lncRNA from 1 species